AAAAAGAUAAGCUAACUAAGCUAGUGGGUUCAUACCCCAUUUAUGAUGGUCGAGCCCUUCCCUUUUUA
rnacentral:tRNA from 1 species